rnacentral:rRNA from 1 species
GAUGAACGCUGGCGGCGUGCUUAACACAUGCAAGUCGAACGAUGAAGCCCAGCUUGCUGGGUGGAUUAGUGGCGAACGGGUGAGUAACACGUGAGUAACCUGCCCUUAACUCUGGGAUAAGCCUGGGAAACUGGGUCUAAUACCGGAUAGGAGCGUCCACCGCAUGGUGGGUGUUGGAGAGAUUUAUCGGUUUUGGAUGGACUCGCGGCCUAUCAGCUUGUUGGUGAGGUAAUGGCUCACCAAGGCGACGACGGGUAGCCGGCCUGAGAGGGGGACCGGCCACACUGGGACUGAGACACGGCCCAGACUGAUACGGGAGGCAGGAGUGGGGAAGAAUGCACAAUGGGCGCAAGCCUGAUGCAGCGACGCCGCGUGAGGGAUGACGGCCUUCGGGUGGUAAACCUCUUUCAGUAGGGAAGAAGCGAAAGUGACGGAACCGGAAGAAGAAGCACCGGCUAACUACGU